rnacentral:tRNA from 1 species
GCCUGGGUGGCUCAGUCGGCUGAGCGUCCGACUUCGGCUCAGGCGGUGAUCUCGUUGUUCGUGGGUUCGAGCCCCGCGUCGGGCU